GACGAACGCUGGCGGCGUGCCUAAUACAUGCAAGUCGAGCGAAGCGGCGGAUGGGUGAGAAACGCGUGGGUAACCUGCCCUUAAGUUUGGGAUACUAUUUGGAAACAGAUGCCAAUACCGGAUACUAAAGGAUGGACCUGCGAUGCAUUAGCUAGUUGGUAAGGUAACGGCUUACCAAGGCGAUGAUUCAUAGCCGGGUUGAGAGGCUGAUCGGCCACAUUGGGACUGAGACACGGCCCAGACUCCUACGGGAGGCAGCAGUAGGGAAUAUUCCACAAUGGGCGAAAGUCUGAUGGAGCAACGCCGCGUGAGUGAAGAAGGCUUUCGGAUCGUAAAGCUCUGUUGUUGGUGAAGCGGUACCCACCCAGAAAGUCACGGCUAACUACGUGCCAGCCGCCGCGGUAAUUC
rnacentral:rRNA from 1 species